rnacentral:rRNA from 1 species
GACGAACGCUGGCGGCGUGCUUAAAACAUGCAAGUCGAACGAGCGGCGGACGGGUGAGUAAUGUAUGGGGAUCUGCCUGAUGGCGGGGGAUAACUACUGGAAACGGUAGCUAAUAACGCAUACCAUCAGAUGAACCCAUAUGGGAUUAGCUAGUAGGUAAGGUACCGGCUUACCUAGGCUACGAUCCCUAGCUGGUCUGAGAGGAUGAUCAGCCACAAGGGAACGGAGACACGGCCCAGUCUCCUACGUGAGGCAGCAGUGGGAAAUAGUGCAAAAUGGGCUCAAGCCUGAUGCAUCCAGGCCGCGUGUAUGAAGAAGGCCUUCGGGUUGUAAAGUACUUUCAGUCGGGAGGCGUUACCGACAGAAGAAGCACAGGCUAACUCCGUGCCAGCAGCCGCGGUAAUUC